rnacentral:rRNA from 1 species
UACGUAGGGAGCAAGCGUUGUCCGGAAUCAUUGGGCGUAAAGCGCGCGUAGGUGGCCUCAUAAGUCCGCUGUGAAAGUCAAAAGGCUCAACCUUUGAAAGCCGGUGGAUACUGUGAGGCUAGAGUACGGAAGAGGCGAGUGGAAUUCCUGGUGUAGCGGUGGAAUGCGCAGAUAUCAGGAGGAACACCGGUGGCGAAGGCGGGUCUCUGGGCAGUAACUGACGCUGAGGAGCGAAAGCGUGGGGAGCGAACAGG